rnacentral:rRNA from 1 species
CGCGUAGGUGGCUAGAUGGGUCGGUUGUGAAAUUCCGAGGCUCAACCUCGGAGCUGCAAUGGAAACUAUCUGGCUUGAGGAUAGGCGGAGAAAAUGGAAUUCCACAAGUAGCGGUGAAAUGCGUAGAUAUGUGGAAGAACACCGGAGGCGAAGGCGGUUUUCUAGCUUACUCCUGACACUGAGGCGCGAAAGCAAGGGGAGCAAACAGGAUUAGAUACCCUGGUAGUCC